GUCCCUAAAAAUUGACGUGUAAUAAUUAAGAGCAAUGGGAGAAGAAAAAUGUUUGGCGUAAAUAAAUCCCAUGCGACAUCCACCUAGUCUUUCACAAAGAAUAAAUUCUUCGUAUAGAAGUUUUUGGGUGUAGAAGAGCCUUUAAACAGAAGCACUCCUCCACUUUUGCACCAACAAAUCUCCAAGAGCCAUCGCAUGGUGCGUGUAGUAAAGAAAAUGCAUGG
rnacentral:lncRNA from 1 species